GAAGGGCUCUCCCGGGAUGUGAGGGGUUUUCCCGGGAUGUGAAGGGCUCUCCCGGGAUGUGAGGGGUUUCCCGGGAUGUGAGGGGUUUCCCGGGAUGUGAGGGGUUUCCCGGGAUGUGAGGGGUUUUCCCGGGAUGUGAGGGGUUUCCCAGGAUGUGAGGGGGUUUCCCAGGAUGUGAGGGUUUCCCGGGAUGUGAGGGGUUUCCCGGGAUGUGAGGGGGUUUCCCAGGAUGUGAGGGGUUUCCCAGGAUGUGAGGGCUCUCCCAGGAUGUGAGGGGUCUCCCAGGAUGUGAGGGUUUCCCGGGAUGUGAGGGGCUCCCUCCUCUCUCCCCAGCUGACGCUCCUGCUCAUCCUGGAGGACAAACUGCACCGGCAGCUCAGCUACGACCUCCUGCCCUCUGACAACUCCAAGGAUCUGGCCACCGAGCUGGUGCAUUACGGAUUCAUCCACGAGGACGACUGCGAGAAGCUGGCCGCGUUCCUGGAGAGCGCCUUCCACAAGCACCGCUCCCCGCUGCUGUGAGCCCGCGGGACACGGACCGACCCCCCCGGGCAGGGAUGUGCUGGACUUGGGGGUCCGGGGGCUCCCGGGCCACCUCCCCGCAGCAGGACUGAGCCCCGGGCCCCGCCCGAGCCCGGGGGGCUUCGCCCGAGCCGCGCUCCGGGAGCCGGCGGAGCAAACGCCGGGAAUUCCGUCCCGGGGCGCCGGGAGGAGCCGCGGCCGAGGGAGGUGUGGGGCAGUGGGCAGCCCCCCCCGAGGGAGGUGUGGGGCAGUGGGCAGCACCCCCCGAGGGAGGUGUGGGGCAGUGGGCAGCCCCCCCUGCGGCCCCUUCCUGCGGGAACCCCCGAGCGGAUCCCUUUCCCUCUGGGAAUGAUCGGCUGUUCCCGCCGCGGGUCCCAAAGCUGGUUUCCCCCCCGCUUUGCCAUCCGGGGGAACUUGCUGAGGGGAGGAGAGGAGAGGGCUCGGAAAGCUCCGGGGCGGCUUCCCAUCUCUGCCGCGUUCCACUCCCCAGCCCGAAUUGGUGCCGUUUAAGGUUUCCCCGCGCUCAGCAGCCCCGGGGUGAGCUGGGAGGGGGCUGUGGGAGCUGGGAGGGGGCUGUGGGAGCUGGAGGGGGCUGUGGGAGCUGGGAGGGGGCUGUGGGAGCUGGGAGGGGGCUGUGGGAGCUGGGGGUGACACGGCUCCAGAGGCGAUCCCAGAAAUCCCGACCCACCCGCUGGAUCAGCUGGAACCUCUGCAGAACCCUCGUCAUUCCCCUCUCAGAGCUUCCGAAAUCCCUCGGCACCCUCGGGGGGAAGCCCUGCUGCCUCUCCCUGCCCUUUCUCCCGCGGUGCUGUGGAAUGUCAGUCCCUGGCCCGGGGAAAUGGGAAUUGCUGCCCUCACCCCCCCAGUGCCGCCCUCACCCCCCCAGUGCUGCCCUCACCCCCCCAGUGCUGCCCUCACCCCCUCAGUGCUGCCCUCACCCCCUCAGUGCUGCCCUCACCCCCCCAGUGCUGCCCUCACCCCCUCAGUGCUGCCCUCACCCCCUCAGUGCUGCCCUCACCCCCCCAGUGCCGCCCUUGGCAGAGGGGUUGGUUUGGGGAAAAGUGCAAAUAGGAAUUGGUUGUGUCCGAGAGCCCCGGGGGGCUGCUCCUGCUGUGCCAGGGAAAACCAGCUCUGGAAUCCUGCCCUGUGCUGUGCCAGUGCUGCUCCUGCUG